rnacentral:rRNA from 1 species
UUAAGCGACUAAGCGUACACGGUGGAUGCCCUGGCAGUCAGAGGCGAUGAAGGACGUGCUAAUCUGCGAUAAGCGUCGGUAAGGUGAUAUGAACCGUUAUAACCGGCGAUUUCCGAAUGGGGAAACCCAGUGUGUUUCGACACACUAUCAUUAACUGAAUCCAUAGGUUAAUGAGGCGAACCGGGGGAACUGAAACAUCUAAGUACCCCGAGGAAAAGAAAUCAACCGAGAUUCCCCCAGUAGCGGCGAGCGAACGGGGAGCAGCCCAGAGCCUGAAUCAGUGUGUGUGUUAGUGGAAGCGUCUGGAAAGGCGCGCGAUACAGGGUGACAGCCCCGUACACAAAAAUGCACAUACUGUGAGCUCGAUGAGUAGGGCGGGACACGUGGUAUCCUGUCUGAAUAUGGGGGGACCAUCCUCCAAGGCUAAAUACUCCUGACUGACCGAUAGUGAACCAGUACCGUGAGGGAAAGGCGAAAAGAACCCCGGCGAGGGGAGUGAAAAAGAACCUGAAACCGUGUACGUACAAGCAGUGGGAGCCUCUUAAUGGGGUGACUGCGUACCUUUUGUAUAAUGGGUCAGCGACUUAUAUUCUGUAGCAAGGUUAACCGAAUAGGGGAGCCGAAGGGAAACCGAGUCUUAACUGGGCGUUAAGUUGCAGGGUAUAGACCCGAAACCCGGUGAUCUAGCCAUGGGCAGGUUGAAGGUUGGGUAACACUAACUGGAGGACCGAACCGACUAAUGUUGAAAAAUUAGCGGAUGACUUGUGGCUGGGGGUGAAAGGCCAAUCAAACCGGGAGAUAGCUGGUUCUCCCCGAAAGCUAUUUAGGUAGCGCCUCGUGAAUUCAUCUCCGGGGGUAGAGCACUGUUUCGGCAAGGGGGUCAUCCCGACUUACCAACCCGAUGCAAACUGCGAAUACCGGAGAAUGUUAUCACGGGAGACACACGGCGGGUGCUAACGUCCGUCGUGAAGAGGGAAACAACCCAGACCGCCAGCUAAGGUCCCAAAGUCAUGGUUAAGUGGGAAACGAUGUGGGAAGGCCCAGACAGCCAGGAUGUUGGCUUAGAAGCAGCCAUCAUUUAAAGAAAGCGUAAUAGCUCACUGGUCGAGUCGGCCUGCGCGGAAGAUGUAACGGGGCUAAACCAUGCACCGAAGCUGCGGCAGCGACACUAUGUGUUGUUGGGUAGGGGAGCGUUCUGUAAGCCUGUGAAGGUGUACUGUGAGGUAUGCUGGAGGUAUCAGAAGUGCGAAUGCUGACAUAAGUAACGAUAAAGCGGGUGAAAAGCCCGCUCGCCGGAAGACCAAGGGUUCCUGUCCAACGUUAAUCGGGGCAGGGUGAGUCGACCCCUAAGGCGAGGCCGAAAGGCGUAGUCGAUGGGAAACAGGUUAAUAUUCCUGUACUUGGUGUUACUGCGAAGGGGGGACGGAGAAGGCUAUGUUGGCCGGGCGACGGUUGUCCCGGUUUAAGCGUGUAGGCUGGUUUUCCAGGCAAAUCCGGAAAAUCAAGGCUGAGGCGUGAUGACGAGGCACUACGGUGCUGAAGCAACAAAUGCCCUGCUUCCAGGAAAAGCCUCUAAGCAUCAGGUAACAUCAAAUCGUACCCCAAACCGACACAGGUGGUCAGGUAGAGAAUACCAAGGCGCUUGAGAGAACUCGGGUGAAGGAACUAGGCAAAAUGGUGCCGUAACUUCGGGAGAAGGCACGCUGAUAUGUAGGUGAAGUCCCUUGCGGAUGGAGCUGAAAUCAGUCGAAGAUACCAGCUGGCUGCAACUGUUUAUUAAAAACACAGCACUGUGCAAACACGAAAGUGGACGUAUACGGUGUGACGCCUGCCCGGUGCCGGAAGGUUAAUUGAUGGGGUUAGCGGUAACGCGAAGCUCUUGAUCGAAGCCCCGGUAAACGGCGGCCGUAACUAUAACGGUCCUAAGGUAGCGAAAUUCCUUGUCGGGUAAGUUCCGACCUGCACGAAUGG